rnacentral:rRNA from 1 species
GACGAACGCUGGCGGCGUGCUUAACACAUGCAAGUCGAACGGAAAGGCCCUGCUUUUGUGGGGUGCUCGAGUGGCGAACGGGUGAGUAACACGUGAGUAACCUGCCCUUGACUUUGGGAUAACUUCAGGAAACUGGGGCUAAUACCGGAUAGGAGCUCCUGCUGCAUGGUGGGGGUUGGAAAGUUUCGGCGGUUGGGGAUGGACUCGCGGCUUAUCAGCUUGUUGGUGGGGUAGUGGCUUACCAAGGCUUUGACGGGUAGCCGGCCUGAGAGGGUGACCGGCCACAUUGGGACUGAGAUACGGCCCAGACUCCUACGGGAGGCAGCAGUAGGGAAUAUUGCACAAUGGGCGGAAGCCUGAUGCAGCACCGCCGCGUGCGGGAUGACGGCCUUCGGGUUGUAAACCGCUUUCGCCUGUGACGAAGCGUGAGUGACGGUAAUGGGUAAAGAAGCACCGGCUAACUACGUG